rnacentral:sRNA from 1 species
UGCGAAGUAUGAUUAAAACUCACAUUUAUCGUCACAGUUGGUGGGGUGCCCGUUUUUUAUAAAACUGGUUUCUGGCUGGGAUAGGUGGAGGCGUAAC